CAAGGAGGAGGCUCUCCCAGCCCUCUUGUCGCUCCCCGACGGGGCAGGGAAAUGUGAGAAGUUAGCAACCACACAGGUGCUGCAGGCCCAGGCCACUGGUCUUCCCAGCUGCGUGGUGCUCUGAUGGAUGGAGCUGCCUGAGGAAGAGGCUGGAGGUUCUAGAGAGACCAGGUGAUGAUGUCCAGGAUAUUUGUGAUGAGUAUGUACCCUCAAGCUUCGGGGACUGGCUGGCUUCUCAUGCACAACAGCGCGAGUCUGAUCAUCAGUGUGCUGGGAAGGCUCAUUGGAGAAAUCUAAGAUGGAAUAUUUGAAUUGAAAAGUACCUCCAGGAGAUCCAUCUUCUUUCCCAUUAGUUGAUUGACUGCUUUCCUACAAUUUCUUGAAGAUGGUCAAUCAGCUCUGUUUCAGCCCUUCUCCAGAGUAGGCGUCACGCUGGGCAUGGAGCCCAACCCAGCCCAGCCCAGGUUGUAGACAACCCUGAGAUCAAGACCUGAGCUGAGAUCAAGAGUUGGAGGCCUAACCAACUGAGCCAUCCAGGUGCCAGAUAAGUGUACUUUUGGAUCAGAAAAAAACAACAACAACAAAAAAGAUUUUGAAUUGGGAAAGUAAAUUUCCAGGGUAUCCUCACUUAUAGUUACGACGUAAAAUCUCGAGCUCUCCCCCUUAUCUUCAGCUAUGAAUAGAGCAUCGCAUUAUUUUCCGUAGCUUUUCCUCAGGAACACUGUUCGUUUUGGGUGUGCGGGUGCUGUCUGUUACUUGCUCUCCAUCCCUGGGUGUGAGGGCCAGGUGGAGAGGAGCCCCCCGACUCUCCAGGACUUGGUUUUACAGUGUGGACUUGGGCUUCCGGCCACUGCCUCCCAUCUGUCCAGGAUCCUUCAGUCCCUGUGGUCCCUCGUAGAGUUCUGGUGUUGCUACCACUGUAGUGAAGGGAAGCAAGACAUGAGCUCUUUCCUACGGGAGAGGGCUGAUCCUAUGUUAUAGGCACAGACGAAGAACAGCCGGGAACCUGGCCUGUUGAUGAGAGAGAUCCUGUUACCCUGCCCAAGCACUCUCUUCUCUCCAGGCCCGGCACCUGAUGUCAAAGCCGGACGUGAAUCCAGAUUGAGCCAGCGGCCACGUCGAACACCGCUCUGGGAGUCUGGGGUCUGGAGUGGCAUGGUUGUGGAGGGCCUGGGGAGUCGUUAAAGGGUCUCAGCGGGUUGAUGCACCCCAGGAGCAGAGCCGACGAUGUGCCAGUGACCAGGGCCACCAGAACUACGCUGACAGGACACGCCAGGUCCACUGCCCAUGGCUGUGACUCACACCUGCCGGGGACCAGGGGCUCCCUCCGUGUCAGGCCGAGGGACCCCGAGAAUGUCUCAGCCGGCGCUCGUCCUGCUUCCCCAAGGAGCCACCCGCAGACUCAGCCUGGCCAUUGGGGGAAUGUUCAGGCGAGCUUCAUGCCCCUUCUCGACUCCCAGGACUGAGUGCCGUCAUCAGCCGGGGAGCCCUUCUCCACUGCUCCUCUCGGGAGCUGUGAGUACAUCUUCAUCCUUUCCCCUUUACAUUGCAAUGACUCAUUAAGAACUACUGAAUUCUGUCGUGAUAACAGGAAGAAGAAUAAUAGCUUAAUUGUGAGCACUUGCAUGUGCCUGCACUGUAUAAGCACAUGGCACAACACACUUUCUCUCCACCACAGCUCUGUAAAAUAGUUGUCAUUAUUGCACGAUGUGGAAACCGAGGAUGUCUAGGGUGAGCGCCUUGCCCGCUUGCACCGGCAAGAAGCAGAGAGCUGGGUACAAGGCCAGGCGGCUGUGGCUCGGUGGCUCGCUCUGGACCCAUCUGCCAGCCAAGGGCACUUCCAGGCCGUCCGCAGUUAGACGCCGGUCAUGCCGGCUGAGUUCUAAGGACAUUCAGAAUUGGAGUUGUGUGUUGGAGAAAAUGUAAUUACGAAGACUUUAAAUACAAGCCAGUAAGAAUUAUAAUUGCUCUAGGAGCCAGAAACUGUCAUACUAAUAAAAAGCCUGAUU